AGUUGCCAUCAUUGAGUUGGGCACUCUAAAGAGACUGCCGGUGGUCAAACCGGAGGAAGGUGGGGAUGACGUCAAGUCCUCAUGGCCUUUAUGACCAGGGCUACACACGUACUACAAUGGCCGGUACAAAGGGCAGCGACACAGCGAUGUGAAGCCAAUCCCGAAAAGCCGGUCUCAGUCCGGAUUGGAGUCUGCAACUCGACUCCAUGAAGUUGGAAUCGCUAGUAAUCGCGGAUCAGCACGCCGCGGUGAAUACGUUCCCGGGCCUU
rnacentral:rRNA from 1 species